rnacentral:rRNA from 1 species
UACAGAGGGGGCAAGCGUUGUUCGGAAUUACUGGGCGUAAAGGGCGCGUAGGCGGCCUGCUAAGUCGAACGUGAAAUCCCUGGGCUCAACCCGGGAACUGCGUCCGAUACUGGUUGGCUUGAAUCCGGGAGAGGGAUGUGGAAUUCCAGGUGUAGCGGUGAAAUGCGUAGAUAUCUGGAGGAACACCGGUGGCGAAGGCGACAUCCUGGACCGGCAUUGACGCUGAGGCGCGAAAGCCAGGGGAGCAAACGGG